UGCCGGUGAUGAAAGAAUUGGUAUAUUUUGUCACAUAUGAGAAUCUGUGAUUACUUACAUACCACUACUGCCUUCCUUCUGAGGCU